UUAACACAUGCAAGUCGAACGCUCGUAGCAAUACGGGAGUGGCAGACGGGUGAGUAACGCGUGGGAACAUACCCUCCGGUUCGGAAUAGCUCAGGGAAACUUGGAUUAAUACCGGAUACGGCUGAGAGGCGAAAGAUUUAUCGCCGGAGGAUUGGCCCGCGUUCGAUUAGCUUGUUGGUGAGGUAACGGCUCACCAAGGCGAUGAUCGAUAGCUGGUCUGAGAGGAUGAUCAGCCACAUUGGGACUGAGACACGGCCCAAACUCCUACGGGAGGCAGCAGUGGGGAAUAUUGGACAAUGGGCGCAAGCCUGAUCCAGCCAUGCCGCGUGAGUGAUGACGGCCUUAGGGUUGUAAAGCUCUUUCGCUCGGGACGAUAAUGACGGUA
rnacentral:rRNA from 1 species